rnacentral:lncRNA from 13 species
UGCAAAGAAGGAGAAAAAUGAAGUAGGGAAGAAAACAGAAGCACAGAGAGAUUAAAUAAACUUUCUAGAAUCCUGCACCUCAUCAGUGGAAUGGCCAGGCUUCUAACCUAAUGAAACUCUGAGGCUUUCAGAGACAGGAGGUGCUGUGCCAAGGCCACACCAUUGCAUUUGAACCUAUAGUGGCCAGAAGAAAUUUCUUCCUCUGGGGGUUGCACAGAAUUCAAAAAGUGGAAGGCUGAAUAAAAAAUAAGGAAUUUAUGGUCUAAUUAUCCUUACUACAUAUUUGGAUGACUGAUUAAAA